rnacentral:rRNA from 1 species
GCCCCCCGGCCCGGGAAUAGCCCAGGGAAACCUGGAUUAAUACCGGAUGAGACGGGACCCGCGAAGGCGGGACCGGAAGGCGCUGCGGCGCCGGCGGGGAUGAGUCUGCGUCCCAUUAGCUAGACGGCGGGGUAAACGGCCCACCGUGGCGACGAUGGGUAGCCGGCCUGAGAGGGUGGACGGCCACAUUGGAACUGAGACACGGUCCAGACUCCUACGGGAGGCAGCAGCUAAGAAUCUUCCGCAAUGGGCGAAAGCCUGACGGAGCGACGCCCGCGUGAACGAAGAAGGCCGUGAGGUUGUAAAGUUCUUUUCGGGAGGGGGAACAACCGUGGCAGGGAAUGGCCGCGGGAUGACGUGAAUCCCGGAAUAAGCCCCGGCUAACUACGUGCCAGCAGCAGC